GCCUGGCUAGCUCAGUCGGCAGAGCGUGAGACUCUUAAUCUCACUGUUGUAGGUUCAAGCCCCACUUUGGGUG